rnacentral:rRNA from 1 species
UACGUAGGGGGCUAGCGUUGUCCGGAAUCAUUGGGCGUAAAGCGCGUGUAGGCGGCCCGGUAAGUCCGCUGUGAAAGUCGGGGGCUCAACCCUCGAAUGCCGGUGGAUACUGUCGGGCUAGAGUACGGAAGAGGCGAGUGGAAUUCCUGGUGUAGCGGUGAAAUGCGCAGAUAUCAGGAGGAACACCAGUGGCGAAGGCGGCUUUCUGGACGGUAACUGACGCUGAGACGCGAAAGCGUGGGGAGCAAACAGG